rnacentral:rRNA from 1 species
GACGAACGCUGGCGGCGUGCCUAAUACAUGCAAGUCGAGCGGACUUGAUGGAGUGCUUGCACUCCUGAGAGUUAGCGGCGGACGGGUGAGUAACACGUAGGUAACCUGCCCAUAAGACUGGGAUAACAUUCGGAAACGAAUGCUAAUACCGGAUACGCAAGUCUCUCGCAUGAGAGAGUUAGGAAAGGCGGAGCAAUCUGUCACUUAUGGAUGGACCUGCGGUGCAUUAGCUAGUUGGUGAGGUAACGGCUCACCAAGGCGACGAUGCAUAGCCGACCUGAGAGGGUGAUCGGCCACACUGGGACUGAGACACGGCCCAGACUCCUACGGGUGGCAG